AGAGAAGAGGCAGAAGUGUGCAAACAGGAGCAGGUCCAAGAUUUGCAUGGCCAGAAGCAGUUCUUGAUCCUCUUGGCUAGAUUCGAAGAUUUGGCCACCUCCAGAUGCUACCACACUCUGGGACAGUGGGAAGUUUGGAACAGCUUUGAGAAGAGCAAGGAUCCCAGGAUGAUGGCUCACAAAGGACUUCCCUGGUUAUUUACUUCUGACUCUUGAAAGCUUAAAGAAAUUGUGCCUGAGAGGUUCAGUACUUUGUCCAGGGACACCCAGUUUGUGCAGAGCCAGGAGGAAAACACAGUUCAGUUCACUCUCACAGGCUAUUCAGGAAGCAUGAUGCUGACAUCUGCUUGGCUUCUGGGGAGGCCUUAGGAAACUUACAAUCAUGGCAGAAGGUGAAGGGGGAGC